rnacentral:lncRNA from 1 species
ACACAGGGCUGUAGGCAAGAGUUGCUUUGGGCUGUGGGGACAUCAGAUGGAGCUGUUACUGAUGGGGGUUGAGUGGAGAUCUCUCUGGUUGCUCUAUGGAAGGCUGAUGGUGGAAGGAGGAUUCUGGAGGUCUGCUGUGUGUGGGGAGGGGGUUCCAUCCAUGCCCCAAAUUUACUCAGUGGCUACAGGGUCUUGGGAAGUCACCCUCCCCAGUUUGUUUUCUUCUGCUCAUGUUUAGCUUAAGAGACCAUGAUUGCUCUCAGGGAGUUAUAUCUGCAUGUAUGUCUGCAUAGCAUGUACCUUCCUGGUACCUCUGGAAGCCAAAAGAAGGCCUCAGCUAUCCUGGAACUUGAGUUACAGAUGGUUGUGAGCCACCACAUAGGAAUGUUGGGAACUGAACCUGGGUCCUCAGGAAGACUGGCCAGUGUUCUUAACUGCUGAGUCAUCUCUCCAGCCUUGCACAGGAUUUUGGAGGCAUGUAUAUGAAGUGAAUACUCUCCUGAAGCAAGUUGGGGCUUGGAACUUUUUUCCUUACCCCCCAAAGAUCCUCAGAAUGUUGCUUCACUCUCAGGUAAAGCUCUCCGAGAUCAGAGAAGAAGAUUAAAGACAUUCUGCUGAUAUGUUUAAUGGCCCCAGUAGCCCUGACUCAUAGUCAAAGCUGUGUGCGAACAUUGUUCCCCGCUCCGCUCUGCUCCCUGUUGGAUGACUCUUGUCCUUUUGAAGUACUUGGUGAUUUGGGGUUCCCAUGACAGAGAUCUAGGCAGGUUUAGCAAUAAUAGCCCCACACAGGCCGCUCUCCCAUUUGGUUGCAUGCAUUUUUAAUGUGUGCGAUUAUGCAAACCACAGUAAAAUGUAAGGCUUAUGUACAUCCUUACAUAAAUUAUUAUAAAGUCACAGGCAUUGUUCCAUUAUGUUCAUUAACUGGGGAUAUUGUCUUUAAAGUAUGUAUGGAAAAAUUACAUGUAUAAAUAUGUAUCAUAUAUAGCCUAAUAGACAGUGUUAAGCAAGGCAGUCUGGGAAAAUGUGAAGAUAAAUUUACUAUAGACUGCAUUCUGUAAGUAUACCAUAUGGCAAGUACAUUUGUAUUGUAAAACAUCUAGUAUAUCAGAAAUAAAUGAUUUCUAAAUGAA